UCGAUGUCGGCUCAUCACAUCCUGGGGCUGUAGUAGGUCCCAAGGGUUGGGCUGUUCGCCCAUUAAAGUGGUACGCGAGCUGGGUUCAGAACGUCGUGAGACAGUUCGGUCCCUAUCCGUCGCAGGCGUAGGAAAUUUGAGGAGACCUGUCCUUAGUACGAGAGGACCGGGAUGGACGUACCGCUGGUGUACCAGUUGUUCUGCCAAGGGCAUAGCUGGGUAGCUAAGUACGGAAAGGAUAAGCGCUGAAAGCAUCUAAGCGCGAAGCCUACUUCGAGAUAAGAUUUCCCACCGYAAGGUUAAGACCCCAUGAAGACUACAUGGUUGAUAGGUCAGAGGUGGAAGUGUGGUAACAUAUGUAGCUUACUGAUACUAAUAGGUCGAGGACUUGACCAA
rnacentral:rRNA from 1 species